rnacentral:lncRNA from 1 species
UACAGAUGCUGAUGGAUUGUUAUUACGAUACAAAAAGGAAAAUGCAUCAUACUAGGGAUGACACGAUCAUAUAGGAACAGGUUGAACAAGCAACAAGGAGAUGCACUCUCUCGUUGUAGUGUAAGAUUCGGUGAAUGCAUCGAUGUACUUGUAUACGUUCUGUAAGAUUAUGUAAAAUAGAAUGAUGUUUGGAGUAACGAGGUUGUUAAGAUUAAUUCAAAUAGUUACGGUUAGAUAAAGUAAAAGAUAAAAAAUUUAGAUUUAAAUAAAUAGAUUAGAAUGAAAAGAUUUAUUUGAUAGAUGGUAGAUUUUUUUCAUUGUUUUUAAAAAAACUUGUAUUUUAUCUUUUAGUCAACAUAAAUAGGUACUCUUGGAUCAAUCCACGGGGAUGCAGAUUGGAAUUACUCCUAGUUUCCUCUAGUAUUGUCUUCCCCUUCUCUUUGAAGUAAUAUAAAAGAGCCAACAUGGUGGUAUUUUUGAAGAAGAUCGACAUGAGAUCCAAAAUAAUAAACAAGAAGAUGACAAGCAUUAGAGUAUGUGUUCCUAAUUAACUUCUCCCUAUCUCCAAAGUGAUACUUAUCAAUUUUGGGCUAUUAAAAUGAAAACUCUGUUUAUUUCACAAGGAUUAUGGAAUUUGAUAGAAGAUAAUUUUAUUUAGAAUAAUCUACAAGAUCCUAAUAUUAUUAAAAAUUAAAGAAAUUAGAUAAAUGAGAAUAUGUAGAAAGAUGCAAAAGCUCUAUACAUGCUAUAACAAGCAAUAGAUGAUUCCUUAUUUUCUCGAAUCAUGAUGGCAUCAACAUCAACAAAAGCCUGAAAAAUAUUAAAAAGUAUGUUUCGAGACACGGACAAAAUAAAAAUUUCAAAGUUUCAAAUUCUUCGAUAUGAAUUCAGAACUCUUAUGAUGAAAGAUUUUAAAUCUAGCACUGAUUUCUUCUCAAAAGUAUCUUCUAGUGUGAAUCAAAUAAGAUCUUACGAUGAAAAUUUAAAAGAUCAAACUGUAGGAGAAAAGGUUUUACGAAGUUUAUAUCCAAAAUUUGAUAUGAUUUCUAUGAAGAAGUUAAAGAUAAAAGUAUAUUAUCUAUUGAUAAAUUAAUGAGUUUCCUUUCGGUUCAUAAAUAAAAAUUUAGCAAAUAUUCAGAUGAGACUUCAAAACAUGCUUUUCAAAUAAAGAUAGAUUAGAAGAAGGACCAAAAGAAAAAUUCAAAAACCAAAUUUCUAGGAAUAUAUCAAAAUUGUAGAGGACGAGGCCGAUCAAAUGAAAGUAAAAAAGAAAUCAAUCAAUAUUUUUAUUAUAAAAAAAUUAGACAUAUUGAAAAGUAUUGUAAAAUAAAAAUCUAAAUAUUUCUCUCGUAAAAAAUAUGACCAUCUUGAAAAAGAUUGUUGAAAUAAAAAUCAAACAAAUUAUUAUGAGGAAAAUAAUAAUGAAGAAAAUGAUGAAAAAAGUAUACUCUUUAUAGCAUAUGAUUUAGAAUAUUUUAUAUAUGUUUAAUUUUUAGAUAGUGGAUAUAGUAAUCAUAUGAUUUAUUUCAAUAACUUAAUGAUUCAGUCAGAUCUACAAUACAAAUGGAAAAUGAUAAUAAGAUUCAAGUGGACGGAAAAAGAACAGUUGUUGUAAAUACCAAAUCUUAUAAAAAAUUUAUUAUGAUGUGAUGUUUAUUUCUGGUUUAAAAUAAAAUCUCAUUAGUAUAGGACAACCGAUGAGAAAAGGAUAUUAUGUUAUUUUUUAUGAUUAAAAAUAUUUGAUUUAUGAUUAAAAAAUUUAUAGUAACUAUGAGGAUGAUUAAAAAACUACUGAUGAAUCGACAUUAUGACAUAAAAACUUUGAUCAUCUGAAUUAUUUUUUUUGGUAAGUUGAUCAUUUGAAUUAUUGUGAAUCUAUGUAAACUAUCUCAAAUGAUGAUCAUGAGAUGAAAUUUCAUGAAGCAGGUUAUUAUAAUUGGUAAACUAUAGCUAAUGAGACCUAUGCACAAGAAGAAAAUGAGGCAGAUAACGUUCUUAAUAAGAAAGAAAGAAAUGUUGCCAGUGCUCAAAUUGAUGCUACCAUUAGACAUCUUCAUAUCUCUGAUGAGUCCCUGUCAAAGGUUACCAAUAUCCAAAACAAACAUGCUUGGCAAAUGUUGCGAUAUGUAAUUAUCCUAAAAUAACACAUUAAUUAUUUCAGAUAGGAGACUUUGGUCUCGAUAGAAGAGGCUAAGAAAGGAGAUAAAAGAUUAUGUAAUUAUUCUAAAAUUAUUCUCAUUCAAUCUAAAAUUACAAUAAACUUCCCAUUGUUUUCUUCCACAAUCUCACUACUUUCAAACCCUAAUCAAUACUUAGCUUAUUUUUUAAACUGCUCUUAAUAAUUUUUAAAAUACCAACACAUUAAUAUCAGCGGAUUAUAGCGUGUCACCGGAUGAGUUGAAAACUAACUUCUCAUGUAAGUAAUAUUAAUCAUUAAACAAUAGGCUAAUAAUCAAUCACCGGAAAGCAGCUUUUAUUUCCUCAAACAAGAAGAGUUCCUACAGGAACAUGGCUGAUAAGGAUUCUAUCGACUACAGCUCCUGAUGGAUUGUUAUUACAAAACAAAAAGGAAAAUGCUUCAUACUAUGGAUGACACGAUCAUAUAGGAACAGGUUGAACAAGCAACAAGGAGAUGCACUCUCUCAUUGUAGUGUUAGAUUCGGUGUAUGCAUCGAUGUACUUGUACACGUUCUCUAAGAUUCGUGUAAAAUAGAGUGACGUUUGGAGUAGCGGGGCGAGGAAUGUGGUCGGAUUGAGGCACUCUUGGUUUAUAUCCUUCCAUGCGUCUUCCACCAUUUCUUGGAGCUUCUUGCAUGCAUCGUCUAUGGAUGUUCCAUACUCUUUCAUGCAGCAGUGUACUGUGGAGACAACAUGUUCCCUCUUCCCUUCUCUCUGCGUGCAAGUCGAUAAAGAAGAAAUGUUUCUUU